rfam:Dipodomys ordii contig_9949, whole genome shotgun sequence.
GGUGCUGUGGCUCAAGUGGUAGAGCGCUAGCCUUGAGCUUGAGGCCCUGGGUUCGAUUCCCCAGCACCA